UUUUUUUUUUUUUUUUUUUUUUUUUACAGUGCAGCAAUAGUAUUUGAAAAUCAGUAGGCGAAAAGUACCCAGAUGACCUACUACUUCCGCUGAGAUCCUGAGGUGCAAAUUCAAUGGACACUUUACUAUCCCAUGAGGCCAUGGGAAAGGAUUUAUGAAUGGCAAUGAAGCAACACAACUGAUGCUGGUGCAGAGGCGAGUGUAGCUUACAGCAACGGCUGAGGCAGCUUUAGAAAGCCUGACAGAGCAGCAUCCAGAGAGUGAGAACUGGGACCUACUGUUGGAGGAAUUUGACUUCAGGACACAGGAGGUCACAGCUGCAGCGGUUAAGCUGGGCCCCGGAGGAAUCCCACAUAGACACUGUUCACCUCUGCCAGGAGUGCGCACCGCUGGUCAGCAACCUCAGUCGCUGGAUCAAAGAGCAGAAGUAGAUAACUGGCAAGCUAUUGGGCUCAUGAAUAUUAAUCACGCUGUCUGCACUCACCCAAAGUGAUUUGCUGAAGUCAAAAGGCCAAUUUACAUUUAGUACAGUCACCAGAUUACAGCACGUCACUCCUCAGACAUUCAACGCUGAUUCAACUUGUUCAUAUGCAAAAACAAGCUCCGACAGAUUCCAAAUGGAUUUAGACUCACACUGUGGUGUGAAUUUGCCUUUUGGAACAACUUUCGAUGGGGGGAGCAAAGCUAGAAGAGGUAACUGGCAAUAGCUUGUUUGCAAUCACGUGAUUCUGAUGAAGCGCGAAAUUCAGAUGGAAGGCAGGAAGUGAAAAGCAGAAUGAACGAGAUGGAGGAAAAUCCUUAAUGUACUGGUUUGGACACUAUUACAAGAGAGGUAUAAACAGAAAAUCACAACAUAUGUUGGACGUGAUCCUUAUGUUAUAAAGAGGAGUGAUUUUUCUACUAAAUUGGAAUAUUUGCCCAGACUUCAAGACUGAACUUCUUCAUCUCAAGAUUUUACCUUAAGUAUGAGACUUAAGGCAUGAUUUCCCCUUGCCUAUGGGAAUGUCUAUAUAAAUAUGGGAAUGUCUAAAUUAUAUGUCUAUAAUAUAAUAUAUAAAGUCUUGGAUAUAAUCCCUUAAACAGUUUUCUAAGAGAAACCGCUAAAUGUUUCACGACAGCAACCAAAGUUUUGCCGUUAUAAAAUUCU